UACAGAGGCCCCAAGCGUUACUGAGAAUCACUGGGUUUAAAGGGUGCGUAGGUGGCGCGUUAAGUCCGUUGUGAAAUCCCUGGGCUCAACCCAGGAAUUGCUUCGGAUACUGGCGUGCUUGAGGCUAGUAGGGGUCACUGGAACUGACGGUGGAGCGGUGAAAUGCGUAGAUAUCGUCAGGAACGCCGAUGGUGAAGACAGGUGACUGGGCUAGUUCUGACACUGAGGCACGAAAGCGAUGGGGAGGCCGAACGGG
rnacentral:rRNA from 1 species